rnacentral:rRNA from 1 species
AUCCUGGCUCAGGAUAAACGCUGGCGGCGUGCUUAACACAUGCAAGUCGAACGGAGUGGUUCUCCCGAGGAUUGACGGUGCUUGCACCUGAUUGACUCAUUGAAUCACUUAGUGGCGGACGGGUGAGUAACGCGUGGGUAACCUGCCCUAUACUGGGGGAUAGCAGUUGGAAACGACUGAUAAUACCGCAUAAGCGCACAGGACCGCAUGGUCUAGUGUGAAAAAACUCCGGUGGUAUAGGAUGGACCCGCGUCUGAUUAGCUAGUUGGUGAGGUAACGGCCCACCAAGGCAACGAUCAGUAGCCGGCCUGAGAGGGUGUACGGCCACAUUGGGACUGAGACACGGCCCAAACUCCUACGGGAGGCAGCAGUGGGGAAUAUUGGACAAUGGGGGAAACCCUGAUCCAGCGAACCGCCGCGUGAGCGAUGAAGUAUUUCGGUAUGUAAAGCUCUAUCAGCAGGGAAGAUAAUGACGGUACCUGACUAAGAAGCACCGGCUAAAUACGUGCCAGCCGCGGC